GAACCACGGUUGAAAUAAGAUUUGUCAUGAGAAGUCAGCAGACUCCAUAGUACUUGAUGAGGUCGACAUCAUUAAGGAAGGGA
rfam:Natranaerobius thermophilus JW/NM-WN-LF, complete genome.